UCCAGAACGAACAAGAUACGGGUAGAGAAGGGGAAGUUAGCAAAGUUACACAAGAUUGGAAUGGGCAUAGGAACAUGUAUUGAUGUACCAGAUCGGCUAAUGCUCCCAGGUUGAUGCGAUGUAUUCCACCAGUUGACUGGAGACUUUAUUAUUGGUAUAUCGAUCGCUCCAGCACGGAUUGAAAUAGGAGCCGGUUCGACAGGAAGCUUUUGAAAACGCAGUGCACCCAGGUAAAUAAGGAACAAGAUGAAUACAGAAGUUAAACGAGCAUCCCACACCCGAAAGGUACCCCACAUAGGCCUUCCCCGAAACCCCCCAGUCACUAACGUAAACAAAGUAGAAAAAGCACCAAUUUCUGUACCGGUUCCGGAAGAGCGAAGAAAAAGGGGAUGUUUUGUUAAUGGGAACAAGGAACUGUUUAUAGCUGUCGCGAUAUAAAUAACUAUACUCAUCCGAGCCGCAGGAACAUGUACAUACGAAAUACGAGAAUUUCCACCUUGUUGAAGAUCUGGUGGUGCUACCCGAAGACUUAAAUGAAUAGCCAUCGCUGUUAAGAACAACCGAGAUCCAAUGAGAAUUUGCGCGUAGCUUUUUGUCUUUGACAUAAAAAAAUAAGGUUGUAAUAACGAAACUGACAUUUUAUUUUCCUUNNNNNNNNNNUUCUAUUUCUUCCGUUAAGGGAGAUUCGGGAAAAGAUGGAAUAGGAAGACGUGUUUCCAGAACGAACAAGAUACGGGUAGAGAAGGGGAAGUUAGCAAAGUUAGACAAGAUUGGAAUGGGCAUAGGAACAUGUAUUGAUGUACCAGAUCGGCUAAUGCUCCCAGGUUGAUGCGAUGUAUUCCACCAGUUGACUGGAGACUUUAUUAUUGGUAUAUCGAUCGGUCCAGCACGGAUUGAAAUAGGAGCCGGUUCGACAGGAAGCUUUUGAAAACGCAGUGCAACCAGGUAAAUAAGGAACAAGAUGAAUACAGAAGUUAAACGAGCAUCCCACACCCGAAAGGUACCCCACAUAGGCCUUCCCCGAAACCCCCCAGUCACUAACGUAAACAAAGUAGAAAAAGCACCAAUUUCUGUACCGGUUCCGGAAGAGCGAAGAAAAAGGGGAUGUUUUGUUAAUGGGAACAAGGAACUGUUUAUAGCUGUCGCGAUAUAAAUAACUAUACUCAUCCGAGCCGCAGGAACAUGUACAUACGAAAUACGAGAAUUUCCACCUUGUUGAAGAUCUGGUGGUGCUACCCGAAGACUUAAAUGAAUAGCCAUCGCUGUUAAGAACAACCGAGAUCCAAUGAGAAUUUGCGCGUAGCUUUUUGUCUUUGACAUAAAAAAAUAAGGUUGUAAUAACGAAACUGACAUUUUAUUUUCCUUGCCUUGCAAGUGGAACAAGAAAGACUAUAUAGUUAUUUUGAUUCUAUAAACAAUCAAAGGAUUUCGCAUGCUUUCCAUGGAAUGACGGAAUUCCCCUUGCUUAGUUUUCGCUCCGCUCAUGCGUGGCACUCCUUGCUUGCGGAGCGGCAUAUCGGAAAAAGAAGGAUUGACUUUCUAUACGGGCCCGUCCCCUCUUACCCCUAACUAACAAUUAUGCUGCACUCGCCUUUCUGUAAUCUUAUCUUUCCAAAAUGCACUACUAAUUUUUACGGCCUCCUUAGUCACCCUAUCCACUCUCGUCCUGUUUUCGGGUUCCCUUUUAGGGGAUGAGGAUAUUUCGAUGAUUUCUCCCUCCGUAGGUGGAAAACGCGUGGGUGAGUAGAGUCUGUGCUUUGCUUUUGGGGGCACCGGCAAGAAGCUUCUCGGCCACCCUACUCUGACUUGAUUAGCUACUAGUAACUAGGAUCGUUCAAACAGUCAGUCAGCAAUGCGUACUUCUUUCCUAGUUGAGUGGAUCUGCGUAGCAGAGCCCAAUCUUCUACCACAAGCUCUGACCUGACUUGUUGUACUUGAUUCACCCACGUAAAUAGACAACUUGGAUAAUAAAAGUCAUCCCAUAAAAGAGAAGUGAGUCCGCAUGUCGGCAAAUGAUUUGGAAUUGAAACUGGCUACAGAGGAAACCGAAGCCCUAACUCCCCAUUCUUUCUAUCUUACAUCGCCAUCGAGCCCUGGCUGUAGAGUCACUGGUUUCAAAUCGCAAUGGAUUUAUGUUUUCUUUGGCUUUUCCAUUCGCUUCGUUCAACCCUGAUCUGGAUAGAUAGCUCGGCUUCUAUUAGCUGAGAAUGGUUUUGUCAAGGAAAGGUUUCGCUAUACAACAACAAUGAACUCACUUCUGAUCAAAUUGGAUUGGAUGAAUCGGUACUCUUUCUCUGUCUUGUGAGAGAGAGUCACUUGCUGUAUUGAGAGCGGGCGGGUGACAUGCAUUAAGCGAAAUCAGUUGUUAUGUUUUUGAUCUUAUUUGCGCGAGAAGACCCUUGACUGAGGAGACGUGUUUGGCUUGGAUGAUGCCGCUAUGCUCCUAUUCACUUUCAGAGACCGCUCUGAGUUUGCCGGUUUUGCGGCAACCCUUUCACUAAGAACAUUUUAGCCAUUAACGAAAUGCCACUAUUCCACAAUGCUUCUUUGAUUUAUGUGUAGAAGCGGUAGUAGUGAAGAAAAUGGAGGGAGAAGAAAGAAAGCGAUGUGACACGAGAAUAGAUCACAUCCGCCAGCCAGCCAUGCCAUUAGAUAGAUCCGCUCUGAGUCUUCUGCAGGAUGAGAUCCGCUUGGUCUUGCGAUAGGGGCUUGAGGAGGAAGAAGAGGGGAUUUCUGAAAAAAAAGAAUGAAUCUCCUUAUUUAUAGGGAACAGGACGUGUGACUUCCUCAAACGAAACGAAUGUGGCUUUCGUGAUAAGGCAAAUCCUUCGUUCGGUACAAUCAACAUAUUGAAUCUACGCUCGCUCGGCUCGGUGCUGAAUGAACUCCUUCAUUGAUUCCGGGCUGCUCGUAGGGGGACUGUGAAAGCAAGCGUAGGAGAUCAAAAUGUGAGUCGAGUCCGAUGGGUAAAAACGGGAAGCAGGAAAGGGUUCUGAUGUGAAUUCUUCUGGUUUGUAUAUCUAUCUCAGCCCUUGCUUGAAAACCUCAAAAUUGACUUGCAUCUUCCCUUAUCACACUACACUUUCUCUUCCUUAUUCCAUUUCACUGAGCUAAGCAACACUUUUUCACGUAUUCACCCGAGAUAUUAUAGAAAUUGGUCAUAUUGAUCUGUCGUCUUGUUCUCGAUAGGAACUUGCUGCUGUCUUGGUUGGUUUGAGAGCAGGCACUGUCUAUAUAUCCAAAACCGGAGGAGAGUUUGGGUUUGGAUCACAGACGAUCGGAGAUUUUGGAUUGAGAUGGAUGGUUGUGCUUGAAGUUACGAGUCGGGUAAUGCUAAGUUGAAUCGGCUGAUCCGUUUCAUCCUCUUUCGACAAAGGAAGUUGGACUUUAGUUAGCUAAAAAAAAAGUACCAGCAGCCUGUCUGUGCCCUUUGAGUCUAUAGCCGCCAAAUCUAAAGAUUCCUUAAGUUGUCGUACGGCUUCUUUUUCUUCUUUUGUCAAUGAUCGGUGACAAUGAAUGCUACGAAUGUUCGCUUCCACUAAUGUCGUAUAAGAAUUGUGAGGUGCCCAUAGCUUCCCGGAAAGAAGAAGAGUCAUUGUCGUUUCCUGACCGAUAUGAAUGCACAUAUUUACCCUCGCCUCGGGAAAUACCACCAGUAGAGUCUGCAGAAGGUGUUGUUCAGGAGAGAUGCUGGGCUCUAGAUAUGCGAGUGAGAUACCCGCCCUCGGUCAUGACCUGGGUUGAAGAAGGAAUCUAUGUUCUUGGAAGCAAAGAAAGAACUCCGGUAUUCCGACCUUAUCUUUUUGCUCAAAGAACGAAUCAAACCCCUUGUCGAAGCCUUUUAUGAUAUAUAACCCUGGAUCGAGUCAGAUUUGGGGCGGCUGAACCCACUUAAGCUGAAGCCUUAGUACAUGUCGACGGAAAGGUGAGAAGAGCUGAUCGAACCUACCAAGCAACGGUUAGUUGUGCGGUGUACAUACAGGCUGGUUUCGCCAUUAGCGAUGAAUUGGAUUUAUUAGUAAGGGAAUGAAUGAAGCGGACCGGAAAGAAGAUGGAUUUUGGAAUAGAAAGAAUUCCUCUUCUAGGUUUCUGCUUCAAGUAGUAAGCAAAGGAUCCUACCUGCUAAUGGUUGAAGACCUUGGCGGCCUCUAGUUCUUCUAUCUAGUUUUUUAGCCUAGCGCGAACGAAUAAGCUUAAACAAAUGGUUUCUUUGGCAACGGUUUUUUCUAGUUGAUUUGUCCUUAUAUAUAUUAGCCGUAGUGUAGUUUAAUAAACUGCUCAUAGCUCUUAUCAUUCCUUUAUCCAUGCAUAGACUGGGAAUAUAUUAGCUCUUAGCUCUGGCACUUUCUUCUUCUUUAUUUGCCGUUGCAUUCAAUAGCCUAUUUGAAGUUAACAAAAGCUUUAUUAGCUAGCUCUAUGAAAUACGUAUAUCUUCUUGGCUAUCUAGGCUAUCUCUACAGGCUUUUUCAACCUAUAAGCAGACCUUUGUAUACACCCUUGUAACUGAACUAGCUAUUCACAAAGAAAGGUCUAUACCGUACAUAUACCAACUACGCACCCCUUGUAUACUUCUUUUUUCCUUCUCCCGUGCUUCAAGUUCUGCCCCAGCUCACUCCUCUUUCCAGCAAUCUAUGUGGGAAGCACUCGUUCAAAGUAAGUUGAGAUUCAAAGCGUUCCCGUAAGCUAGUAAGUCAAUCAAAGCUAUAACUCUAUUUGUUAGUUUCAGGAAACUGGUACAUAUUUCAAAUAACAAUAAUAUAUAUAUAUAUAUAUAUAUAUAUAUAUAUAUUAUUAUUUGGUAUUUACCAAUUUUAGACUAAGCAUAAAUUCAUUUGGAAAGAAAAGGGAAAUCCCCUGAAAUAAAGGAUUUUUACUACGUUACCCUCAAAAAGAAGAGGAAGACAAACUAGCCAAGAGACAGAAAAGGGUAGAGACCAAACACCGAAACAAGGGAGUAAGGGCUAGGGGGAUAUGGGCCAAGAAAGGUCCGAUGUAUCGGUCAGCUAUACCUAAUCCUUCACUCAAAAACGCAUCACACCCUUUGUAGGUUCAAGCCGAAGUCAAGCAUGAUCACCUACUGCAAACUCCAAAUAUCGUGGUCGGCGUACCUGGUCCUGAACUGCUUUUAAUCUAGAAUAAGUGGAAUCUUCUCGGCACUCUCCUUCAUCUUCUGUGGCCCCGUCGGUCGGUACGUGCCAACCCCAACAAAUCGGGGUACGACAAAGGUUCCUGUAGAGUGCUUCGAAAGGUGCCAUUCCGAUGCUAGAGUGAUAGCAGUUGUUGUAAGCAAACUCGGCUAAUGUAUCUCUAUGCCUAUUUAGUAGGCCUGCUCAUUGAUGCUCUUCGGGCCGAUUGUAUGGGAUGUGUUCUGGUGUACAGUGGGAGAUGCAAGGAUAUCGAUUGAAGUUUGAUUUGUUGGCCAUGGAGUUGGGAGCAUAUGAUGUAGUCCUAGGAGUAGACUGGAUGAGGAAAUUCCCUAUUAUUUCAAUAAGUCUUUCCGUUGGUUGUAACUAAUCACGUACCCGCUGCUGCGGAAUUCCUUUUACCUAACCAGGAUUGCAGUAAAGAUAAACAACGUUGGGCCUGCCUGCUUGUUCAGCACCACCCAUUCCCAUGGGAAUAUAUGGGUUUUUCGGUCCAGUGGGAGGAUCAUUUUCCUUGGAAGGUAAUUUUCCCAACCAAUAAGUAUUGGGCUCCCAAGGAAACAAAGCGAAGGAUCAAGUAACCAACAUGUUGCGGAGCAGCCAAGUAAACCCAGAAAUGACUCAAGUAAUCCAAGGCCAGAGCAACGUAAUCCAACGGAGGGGCUACGUGAUCCAACAGAAGAGCUACGUAAACAAGGAACACAUGAACCUGCUAAGGAUCCACUCCACCUGCCAAGUGGACCAAUCACAAGAGCUCGGGCCGAGAAAUUCAAUGAAGUAAUCCAUAUGCUGAUUCAGCAAGCCAAGCAUUGGAGUUGGUAUUCCAAGUUUCUUGAAUAACCUAGCUGUCUGAAACUCGCCAAUGGGAUUCUGUGUAAUCCUCUGGUCUACAUGGUGUAGGUAAAGGGCAAGAAAAAAGUCGCUAAUUAGUGGCACCGAAGUAUGCACCCGGCGUGUAAACUUAUUCUUUUUAUUUACCAAUGUCGCUAUCCGACUGAUCAUCCUUUGAGACCACGGAGAACAUCAGAGAGAAAGAUACGUCACCUAAAAAAAAUUGACACCCUGACUUAUAUGAGUCGGCUAGAAACUCAAGGCCUGGCCUUUUGUGGGAGAAUGCUGAGUCCUUCCCAAAAUCGCCUGGAUCAACGAAAGAUCUGGAUAACGCUAGGUUGUGAUACUGAUGUCUGAUUUUACUCAUAUACAUCCGAUAGUGAAGGCCGUGAAGUUUGAACAGCCUCACUUAACCCUGGUUCGGUAACCUUUCUAGCGCCCAGGUAUCCAUGACUUGUAGAUAGAGGCCCACUUUCCAUUGGAUACUCCGAAUAAAAGAAGAAGUAGUUACCUAAUCAUGGGUCUAUACGUAAGAUCUCCUUGCGUAGAGGUUAAGGCCAGACGGAUUACUGAAAUGUAGUUUGACUAACGUUUCCUCAUCGACUGCGAGAGUUUGUGGUGUGUGUUCUCGGACCAAAGAAACCAAACAAGCAUACCUUUCCUUUAAUGGAGUAUCUUGGGUAUGGUACUCCCUCUUUAUCAGCUCGAUGUUCAAUCAGCAUUCCUUCACGGGGAUCUUGACCGGAUGUAAGUCAAGAUUGCUAUUAUCUUUUUAAAGAACAUAAACUUCAAAGCUUCUAGUCUGUCCCAACUCUUUCGAGCCGCUCUCCCAGUCAACGUUCAAAGGCAUCACCAUAUCUUAGCACUUUUGAGCUUGAGAAAUGCUUUUCUGGCUUCUUCUCCACACCUUUCUUUAACAACUCAGUUAAAGGCCUGCUGAUAGCUCCAUACCCCGGUACAAACCUCCUGUAAUAACCCCUGCAACCCUCGGAGUUCUCUGACAUUGGCUGGUUCUGGCCAAGCUGUCAUGCCCUCUACCUUGUUUGUAUCAGUAGAUACCCCAAUUUCAUAAAUAAUGUAUUUCCUUUAUGAAAUUUGGCUCACCCACAAAAAGUUUGUUCUGCCGGAACACUUCCUCUAGCAACUUGAGAUGCUCCACCAUGGUAGAACUGUACACUAGAAUGUCAUCGAAAAAGACCAAUACCCCUUUCCAACAUAUCUCUUUAAAAACACUAUUCAUGAGUUGUUGAAAGGUUGCCGGGGCAUCACCUUGAAUUCAAAAAGCUGGUCCUUCAGGCUGUUUUGUAGAUAUCCUCUUCCUUUCAUUCUUAUUUGGUGAUAACCAGCCCUCAAAUCUAUCUUAGUUCACACCUCAUCGAAAAGUGCCGGUCUUCUAUGAUAGGAAUGGGGUAUUUGGAAAACAUAGUUGCUGCAUUUAGUUUUCGAUAGUCGAAACACAUUCUCCAGGUUCCAUCUUUCUUCAACACCAGAGCUGCUUUGGGGCUUGUACUGGGCCUGAUUACAGCAUUUUGCAACAGCUCCUCUACUAUCCUUUCAAUCUCUGUUUUCUGGGUGAUAGCAUUUCGUCGGAAUACAAAUGGUGGCCCACGUUUAGAAAACUUUUUUAGGGUAUUCUAUUUCAACAGAAUAGAUCAAACUUUUUAUAUAUUCGAUUUCAUCUAUAUAAACUAAACGGCCCACUCAACUUUCUUAAUUCAUCCAGGAAGUCCUUCCAGGUUUUGGAGGUUACACGGUUUAAGGCCCGGAUCGCAUAGUUGACUUGAUCGCGCCUUUUCCCAUAUAAAAUAAGAUCUGCUGCCCGGGAGAUGUCUUCAUCAUCAUCCAGGCUAAUUCCCCGGCUAUUUAGAAGCUCCCUGGCUUUAGAUUCCAAUAUAUUGUCCCUUUCUUUCGCUGUCUCUAUUCUAUUGGUGGACGGUCGUAACUCUAAUAUAGGGCUUUGAAGCAUAAAAAUCAGCUGCAAUCUAGUUUUUUCACAAAGGCUGGUUGAGGCUCAGACUCAACCAUCUGUGCUUUGCAGAUGAUCUUCUUUUUCAGCGGUGGUGAUCUGAAUUCUAUCCAAGAGCUUACUAGUAUCAUGACUCAUUUUAACAGAGUGUCUGGGCUUUCAGUUAAUGCCAAAAAAGUAAGAUCUUCUUCAGUGGUAUUUCCUUUUCUUUGAAACAAACUAUUUUUGAGUGUGUCUUUAAUGAAGGGAUUUUACCAGUGAAAUACUUAUACCCUCCAUUCAUUUCCUUUUCUUUCCAGGCUAGCUCCCUCUGUAGCCGGUGGUUGAUGUAGAUGAGUAUGGGAAGACAAUGGUAGUUUCAUUCUAGGUCCCACUAAUUGUUGAAUAGUUGGUUUGAGUUUUUUUUUGGAUCCAUGCAAGCCAUUUCCAGUUGAAGUCAUAAGGUACCAUCCUGUUCCAGCCAGGAAGACAACUCUAUCUCACAAGUUAGCUGGAUCUUUUAUUUAAGCCAAAGGCUAGAAAACCUAUUUCAAAUGAGUUUGGGCUCCGUUAAGUUAUCCUCAUUUCCUGAGAUAAGCGCAGUUCAACAAAACUAAAAGCUAGAUAUAUCGUUGUAAAGUAGAGCUAGACUGCAUGAUUGGAUUGUAUAGAAGGAUAAGAAGGAUUUUAAAAUUCCUUCUUUUUUUCUUAAAACGAAAGAAGAAAGAGAGUGGGAUGGGAUGAAAGUAAACGCAAAGAGCUGAUUCGAUCAAAGAACUUCGCAGCUUUAGUGCAACAAGCCGAUCGAAAGCACUCAUCUUUAUCGACCAAAUGCACUAUUGACUUACGAGUUUAUGCAUGCUUCAUUCCUAUAUCGGCAUGUAUUAUCCAUAGGCUGGUUGUGAGACAUCUUCCUCUUAGUGCUACAAAUGGCUUCUUCCUUAGUUCUUUAUAGCUCUUUCACCUCUUUUAGACUCUUUGCAAUGUUUAGUGCGGGGAACUCUACACUAUUGUACUCAGAUGCUAUUCCUUCAAGAAAGUAUCGGAAAGCAAAAAGGGACUCGUUCACCGUAUCGCGUCCAAUACAGCUAUGCCACAAGUUGACCUAACCAACUGGUAAACAAAACCCAAGUUAACGGAUCGACCUAGGAAUAGGAUGAAUAGAACCAUUGAAUCGUCACCCAAUGGAGCAGAGAGCCUUCCUUUAAGAAAGAAAUAACUCCCUACAACAACCGUGUUUCGAAACUCGAUUCAUUAUCAUACGAUAAAUUGCAUGACAAGAACCUUCAUUCCUACAGAGAGGUUGAAGCUAAGUUUCAAGACCUAGUACGGGCAAAGCGCAGUUCAAACCCGAAAGGAUCAAAGAAAAGGGAAUAUCACGAAGGUAAGCACAUUCUAUUUUUCUUAAUUGACAAAGCAAAGGGAGUUAUCAACCCUUUUUUCCGAAACCCUAUAACGGCUAGUUCCCAAUGCUCGGCUUCCUACCUCCUCUAACAAAAUCAAAGGUAAUAUCCUCCGUUUUCCAAGAAGAUAAGUUCUACGGCAAAGGAUGUCAACGGAACAGUUUCGGCAAAGGCAAAGCCCGGGAGAAAUCCAAUAGCGUAUGGCGAUAAUGUCAUCCCCACCGAAUCCUCAUCUUCAAAGCAUUUUCUUGCAAGGGCCUAUCGCGAAAGAACUCAAGCCAAUACUUUUUCAUUUUCAUGUAGUAGAUCCUAGGAAACAUACGUACGAGAUAUUUACAGCCCUUCUUCGGCAAGGGUAUCCGGUAAAAGGAGGACGGUUCCUAAUCUUUUGAUCGGCAAAGGGUUCGAUGCAUUAGUUUUCGACUAUGAACGAGUCAAUCAGCUAGAUCUACUUGCGGCAAACGGCACCUUCCUUUCCCAGCCAAUGGUACGUAAGGCAAUGGUUGUUAUUGAAGUUCAGAUCAGGGAAUACCCUAGGUUUCGGCUUUUUCCACGGUUCCGUAACGGUAGCUUUCGGCUCCUCGCUACAUCCCUUCCGCUCCUACUAAGGACGCUGCUGAACCGAUAGAAUUUGCCGAGCGAGCACUACCAUAACUUAUGGUAUCUGACCAGUUUUCAAUACGGAGCCAGAAAUCGUUUUUCAAUUCAAUACGGAGCCAGAAAUCGUUUAUAAAUACAGAGCUUAUACUAGUAUAGUUCAAUUAAAGAUAAAAUGGCGAAAAAGAGUUUGCUUAGAAGGGAAAAUUCCAAAAUCGCAUAUAAAAAGACAUCAAAAAAUGCGCAUACAUCGGUACCCACGGAAAAGGCAAAACCGGCUGGCCGCUCAAAUAAGUAAAAUGAAAUAGAAAAUACAUCUGCAUUUGAUAAGAAAUCUGCAUUUGAUAAGAAAUCUGCAUUUGAUAAAAGUAAUCCAUAUUUGCAUUAGCGGCGACGAAAUAAGGAAUCUGAGAAUAAGGGUUUGGAUUAGGGGGAGGAGGGGAAUUUAUUUCUGCCUCCAACUCCAUGUAAUUCGAACUAACACUUUCUACGCUCAUAGCCGGCCCAUUUACCGAAUUUGGGUAUGACGACUCUGGGUCAAAUUCCACAAGCAUUCCGUCCAUUGAACCCGGGAAAACAAAAGGAUCCAUCGUGACUCCCCAUCUUUUUCAGCUCUGCUCCCAAACAAAAGAGAAAGGGAGACUUAGUUUUAGAUCGGCGUUGGUUUUUCCAACGAAAAACAAGAACAUUCUUUCACGAACUUCCAUGACAAAAUGCUAGUUGCCUCGUAACGCAUACACUGGAGCGUUUGUCCCAUCAACGAAGACUACUUACUAUACGCGUUUUCGAGUUGCAUUUAGUGCUCUUUUUCGUCGCCAGCUAAAUCAAUCAAUUUGACAAGAUCUUGCAUCAAUCACCUCGUCCGCUAGGGAAAUGCACUCCUGAAUAGACUCGAUUCCCCGCCCCGCAUCAGUGAAAUGUCUAAGACGCAACGGAAUAGCAACGUUUCUUUCUAUAUGAUAAUAUGCACCGAGGGGAGGAGUAGUUUCAAAUAGAAGUCAAGUAAACAGAUUCAAGUUAGCCCAGUUUGGUUCCUUGGAAAAGCUGUUCAAAGCAAAGGGUUGACGGGUGGUGGAGUCCCAUCCCAGGUUUAGUAUAUAGCACCUGUUUUCCAAUCCGUAAACGGUGGAUUGACUUGCUCUUUAUCAAAUCCACAUUAAAAAGGGGUUUUGUCGUUCAAUGAUUUGAUCCGCGCACCUUAUUUCUGAUUGAACCACUUCCUCGAAAGGACAUCGUAUCGGUGCCAGAAUAUGGGCUAGUGGUACACCAACCUCCCCACCAACUGCUACGCCCCGCGGGGCUUCUUCCUAGCGCUAUUGAAAUGAUAUUCCUAUUAUUGGUCCUAGCAAUAUCCCUGGACCAGGGCACGGCACCUAUCCAACUAUGUCUUGUUUCGGUUUCCGGAUCCGAAUCUUUUGUUAUACUUAUGUAUGGAUGAUUGUACACAACAGGUGUGGAAAGUGCGAUAGAGCUCGAAAAUGGAUGCCCCUAUUUCAAUUUCAUAAGUGCUUGUGCAACGGCUUCAAAGUGACAGACUGAGUCAAGUGACCUGUUUUUGUCACAUGAUCCAGAAUUGCACGAGAACCUACAAGUCCUGUUAUCGUUCUUAAUUCGAUAGCCACGGGACAGCCGUUUUCUCGUCUCUCAGCCUUUCUUAUACCUGCACUGACCUCAACGGUAUCCAACCUGCAAAAAAUAUCUAUACCCAUUAGCUCAUCACGCCAACAGUUCUCUUGGGUUGACUGAACCUACCUAUCCGAAAUCCCUGUUGCCAACUUCUUACUGCACAGAAGCAAUGGAACAGUAUCGUAGAGUGAAGUGAAGCAAACAAACCACUCCUUUGGAAUUGAUUGACUUGACACACAGCCGACGACUGAGAUGUGCCAUUGUCAUCGUCAAGAUCGUCCAUCACGAGUACCUUCUUUUCUGCAUCCGUCAGUUCAAGUUUUCCCAGCAUGUUUUAUUACUUGCCUCGAUCGAUACCAUCCACUUAUUUCUCUUUCUCACGGGACACAUAAAGAUACCAGCGCUUGUGCGAACAGUUGAUGCUUGUUAAGCCAUAGCUAUCACUUCUUGCGCCAAAGCGCUCCCACCAACUACAAAAUACCUUAUAGGAGGGGCCCUUGUCUUCAGCUAAAAAGAAGCAGAUAUUGCCGUAAGCAGGAGAUGGAAAAGCCCACGAUCCAUAACUUACUCACUCAGAUAUUUACUAGAGCUUGGCAGUGAAUGAAGGCAGUACAGGAGACUCCGAAUCCUAUUCAGAUUGCCAAUGAUCCAGUCAAGCAUGAACUAACCAAGCAUAUUGGUUUCGAUCACGUCUAUCCGAAGUCAAUAGAGCAAUUUAGAGCGUUGCGGUAUCUUUUGCUAAUGAAAUGAGAUUGGAUAUGAAUGUGGAAUUCAUUGAGUGGAGAGAUGAACUAAUCUAUACUCUGCCUGUCUUCCAUUUCUCUGAAGAUUUCGUUUACAACACAACAUCAAACUCCAAUUUCAUGAAUUGAUAGGUAAGGAUCGCUGUCGAACAGCUCUUCUUCAUUUCUUCCGGAAUUCUUUCUUCUAAGGUAGUAGGUAUCGGGUUUCCCUGUUCAUACUCCGAACAUGAGUUAAUAUACUCUUGUAGAGCAGAUCACUUAGGGCUUUAUACUGGUUCGACGACUGGGUUCUUGUUCCUUUCUCUUCUUUGUCUGUCCACUCCCUUUGUUUUCAACAGUCUUUGGAGCUUCUGGUACCACUGGUGUGAUCUCAUUCUUGAAUGCUAACACCCUGGUUUCUCCUAACGCUACGCUUUCUAAGCAACCUCAGUGUUCUCUGAACUAGGUGAACAAUCCAGGGCGAUAGCGUGAAAGGGCCUCGUCAUUGCUCAUCCAGUUUCACUACAUUAGCCUCCUCGUGUUCCUAAGGGCUACCACCAACUAAUGCUUUUCGACUUCUGGCUAGAGCUACUAACCUACCUCGAACAAGAGCUGCAUCCCGGUAGCGCUUUGAAUCAUCAUUUUACUAUUCCUAGGUUCGAUUCCUGCUGUCUUUGCUUUCUGUCUUGCCUCUAUGCCUUCCUGGUGGGUGACUGUGACCUGGAGAUGGUUCGAUGGUUGGUGACUCUAAGCCAGAGUGAUGCUUUCUUAGUUUCAUAAAUGCCUUUCUAAGCCCUUUCCAAUCAAUGGAGAAUGGUUACUAGAGCUAGCGCCUGUCCCACUUUAGAACACUAAGAACGUAAUAAGCCUAGCCGGGACAAAUGCACUCACUGUUAGUCCGAUCACCUCGGCUAAAAUCAUCUUCCCUUUGUUAAUGACCAAGGGUAUCCAUAUCAUGAUAUGUAGACACAAGAGGGCAGAGGCAUUGAUGCGGCUAGGAUGCGUGUCUGCUUUCCUGUUGUUUGAAGGAGUAGAUACAUUCAUUUCCUUUUGCCAGAGUGAGAGUGAGAGUUGUGUGGGAUGUUGACAAUCACUAUCUCGUGAAGUCACGAGCGUAAACCUUACAUAGUUCCAGCAAAGCGCAAAGACGAUGGUGAAAACCUUUGUUCUUGUCCGGCCGAUGUUGUUCAAAGAAAACCUGGACAAUGAGGGGCAGGUUAUAUUCCCUUUCUUCUGAUCAAUUGAGCUCAAAGGCAAAAGGCACUAAAGAUGUUUAAGAUGUUUCAUCAGAAUUGCUAUUGACAUCGACUCGUCCGAGAGAUUAGCAAGCACCUCAGGGUUGUGAGAAAUCCAUCCCCAAAACCAAGAAUUGGAUCUAUUGUUUUCACUUUCUUUCCCAAACAAUGUAUCUGUUGAUACCUGAAUUGCUUAUAUUGCUCGCCCUAAGAUGGAAAAUGUGAUAGAACCCACUUUACAUACCUCCAUAGGAGGAGAUCCCUUAGAAGAGAGUGAAACAGGCAGUACAGCAAUUCACAAGCCAUAGAGAACGAAACUCGGAAGAAGAUCUAGUUUCGAGUCAGCUAGGAAGACCUCUUUCUUAAAUUAAAGGGAAGGGGUCCACAUAAGCCCCAAUUAUUCCCUAGCUUGUUAAUCCAACAUAUCAGUUGGCGUGUCUGAAUAAGAAAGAGUUGGGCGAUGGUUUUAGAAAACCCGAAACUAGCCAUGCCCUAAAGAAAGUGAAUUCCAAUCUACGUGAAUCACGAAAGAAGCAAAGCCGGUCAAAGAAUCGAUUAUAUGCCUUCUCUUUCCAUAAGACCGAUGGCCUUAGUAACGUAACGCACAGAAGGAAUAGAAGACAGAGCGAGGGGAUAUGUCACGAGCAAAAGGGAUGAACAACUACCCCUGUAUACGUAGCUUUGUGUCACAGGGGGAACGACUGUUGAGUCAAAAAGCUGAGUGAGAAGGAAGCAAAGGAUCGGUUGUGGCGGGAUACGAAGUGCUCUGCUAAGCCAAUACGAAUGUUUACAUACGAACCCACGCCAAUACAUACGAGUAGUAGGGGUAUUGAAAUUCUCAUCAAUUAAAGGUUAGGGCUCGGUUUCCGGUUGACUUUUCGAAUCCUAUCCUCUGUUUCUGGUUAAACCAAUUAAAUAGGAGUAUCCACCCAACUUUCAUAUGCUGUUGUUCCUAUACGCUAACGGGUUCAUCUUUAUAGGCAAUGAUUUCAUUUGUAUUCCAAUUCGUACGUAUACCCCAUCGCUUUGUUUACCAUCCCUAUCGUCUCGAAUAAGGUUUCCUAGCCUAGCCCAUCUCGGUGUCAGCUACCGAAAGAGAAAAUUGGUCUAAGGGCAGCAUCUACUCGUUCAUCGCUUGCCUCACAUCGAAAGAGGCAUGGCUUCUCUCUUCACUCACUCCCCUGUUUGCCAGCUUCAAUAGCAUGGAAGAAGGUGUUCAAAGAACAUAGUUUCACAUCUACAUUUUCUCCAUUUGAUCUUGAUCAAUAAUUCACUUAUAGAAAUAGAAUAGAAUAGAAAUAUCAAGAGAAACACUCUUCUUUCCGAAGAUCCAUUUCUAGUGGGACAUUGUUCAUAGGGAGCGCACAUCCAAUGCGCCCUCUACUCUUCACUCUUCACUCUUCACUCUUGUGCUCGAUAUCCUCUUCAACAAGGAUUUGCGGCUCCAAUCCCUUUAUUUUUCCAAAGGUAAAAGAUGGAACAGACCGAAUCCAAAAUGGAGGCAGGUGUCCCUUUCCUAAUGCUUUCAUAGCUUUUGCUGGUAUCGUCGGAAUCCGAGCUCUAUGGGUAUUCAACAAGAACCCAGCCGGGAUAAAAAAAAUGGGUAUACUUUAUAAUGAUCAUGCCCUUCAUUCAUCUCUUUUCAAACUAGGAAUACAUCGUGGAAUAGAAUUGAUCAUUUAUUUAUCAUUGUAUUAUAGAGGUUGUUAGCGGAAUUAUUGCAUUCGAAGUCAAAUAACUUGCUAUAAUGAUACUAGUACCUAUUGCGGCAUAACGCAUUUUUGAAGGUUCAUCAUUGAGCGCGUAUUCACUCUGCGGAAGUAUAUUACAAAAGGGGUACUUAUUUCGAUAUAUCGAUAUAACUCUAUCAACCAAAUCAUCAUGUGGAAUGAUGUAAACUAGCCUAAAAAAGUGAAAGAAGCCCUCAUACCCACUCCUCUUUCCCCACCAAACCAACAAGUAGUAGGUUGGUGGGCCUCGGUAUCUCUAUUUGCUAAGAUGGAUACCUACAGCACUCAAUAGUUCCAAAUCUUUUUUUUAUCCCAUAGGAAAGAAAAUGCUUCUAGCAAUUUUUGACUUUCUUCCGCUGUCAUACGACGAUCUUCACAACCUUCCACCGGAGGCUUGUUUCUGUUUUCUUCCUCUUUAGCCAUUGCUUCUUUAAUCAUAUCUUUGAUAUUCUUUAGGGGCAAUUUAAACAUGUUCGCAUCCCGCGGGAAGCGAAAAGCCAGAAAUAGAAUUUCCUCAGGUUUAAGAACCGAAAGGAGUUUAUCCAGAUUUGGUACCAAACCCGGGAAAAACCCUAAACGAGCUCUUAAAAAAUCGAUAUAAGCAGGGUCAUAGGAAUCCUUAGAUUCCCCUCCCUCCGCUUUGGAGGAGAAGCUUCUUCUAUGGCUAUGGCCAAAAGGAGAAAUAGUCCUGUUCAUUAUAUUCCUCCUAGAAUCCAAGGCAUUUCGUCGGAAUACAUCCUGUCUUUUCACCUUUGUAGUCCUAUGCAUAGUAAGUACUAUAGCCCCAAUCAUAGCUACUAAUAAAAUCAGACUAGAAACCAAAAACCAGACGGAAUAGUAGGUAUAAAGCAAAUUGCCCAAUGUUUCCAAAUUAGUCCAACUUCGUACCUUUCCGGCAUAAACCGUAUAUCUCAGAGAGGUCGUAUUUCUGUGGGUUGGUAGUAAUGGAAUGGUUUCAUUAUCUAAAAUGAAGAACAUUUCCCACCAAAAGAUCAGUCCAAUAAUACCACUCACUGGUAAAUAGCGCAAUACUUCUUCGUGAAUCUCCGCUAUUUGAAUAUUGAACAUCGUAACCACGAAUAGGAAUGAAACGGCAAUAGCUCCUAUAUGAACUACUGGGGAGAUCAUAGCGGAGAAGUCGAGACCUAACAAAAUAAGUAAACCAGAAGUGUCGCAAAAGACUAGGAUGGGAAACAAAACGGAAUGUACCGGAUUUUUAGCACGUACAACCAUCAAACCAGAGACCAAAGCAGGGCUCGACAAAACAGAAAGUAUCAUGGUACGUCGUCCUCCCUUGAAAUGGAACUUGAAUGCUGGAGCAAGAAGACGCAUUCAAGUUGAUCUAUUACAACCAGCGCGGUUGUUCGUAUUUCAUUUUCUUCUUCCAAGACGACGCUCUUCUUUUAAAAGAAAGCACUCACUGAAUUACUUACUGAAUCUCGUCUUUCUCUCGGCGCCGAGAAUUUUUGAUGUGUCCGGGUCGAUCAGAGGUUCGGCUUGCUUCUCCCCCACCCUCGCCUAUGAAAUGGAUAACCCUUGGUGCCAUAGCAGCAGGAUUUUAAGGGCUUCUGUUGAAGCGGAAUAGGAGGAAGCCAUGCAUUCUUUCAAGAAUCUCCAAACCCCCCCCCUUUACCUUCUCUUUCUAUUCUAUAAAAAGGCGAACAUCUAAUCUAGGCCCGGUCGCCUUUCUAUGAAGGCGAGCAGCCCAGCCCCCUUGUUGAAAUUUGGAUAUUAAGGAAGCCGUAUUUCGCAAUAGCAGCUCCGAGAAGCUGGGCUUAGGGUGCGCCUCCUGCGGUCGUUUCAGUGACUCAAUUGGCUGGCUUCCCUCAGCUCAGACUGGUGUCGCCACCUCUCCCAGGACCGGAAUGAUUAUCCCCGCCCGAUGGGUCUACAUUCAUCCCUGAAUGUCGUCGGGUACUCUUCACUUCCCCGCCAUUCUUGUAACUGUCACCUGUAAUCCGCGCAGGUGUGUCCGCACCCCCUAGAGUGGACGAGAAAGAAAGGAUUUUUUCUCGGAGCAACCCCCCCUGGUUCCAUACCCAGGAGUUCACUUUCCCGUAUGAGCAUUCGGUACAUAUAUAAGUCAGUGGAAGAGUCAAAGGGUCACCACUACUGAGGAUCUCCCCCCUUAUCUUAGAAGGGUCGUCUGAGGGUUCGCCGCGGUUCAUUGCUGUGCUUACACACUAGGCUACCCUUCUCCGAAAGCUCCACGGGACCACCUAUCACUAGUCUUCGGCCGGAGGGGUUUAUUGCACAAAAAGGCCAGGACGCGGGCUCCCGCAGAGGAAAGCCCAACGAUCAGAUGCAAAGCCCCGCACCUCAUUAAGAUCAUAUUGGCAUACUCUCCUAAAAAAUAAAGAGCAGACCCCAUUGAAGACGGGAGUGAGGUACAACAAGGCCAUUUCCGUCCACCUUCUCACGGAGCCGUACGUGGACGUUACCGCUCAUACAGCUCCCAGCCAGCAAGCAGUUAGCUUUCCUCUAGAAGUCAUGGAAGUGUGGAUAAAUCGACAGAAGGUUUUUAUUUCUUAAAAAAUCGCCCUAACCGUCCUAAAUAUGGACGGAGAGCAGUCUCGAGUUUUUCGGGGUCCUCGAGAUCGCAUUUUAGGUCGAGUAGAGACGCUAGGGAGUCUGUGGGCUUCCCUUGGCAUUUCAAGAUGGCCUCUAUCGUCUUUUCGAGAGCCUCCCGUUUGCCCGUCAAGGGGCAUUUGACAUCCAGAGACAAAAGCAGUCCCACACGAAACUGGGAAUUUUCCCCAAUGGACGUAACCAGCUCUGCUUUCGCGGUCUCAAAAGGAGAAGCCCCGAACGCUUGCAGUUGCUUUUUUCUCUUUAUUCCUUCUAAGCGAGCCUCUAAAGACUCUACUCCUACUUUAAACUUAGAGUCCGAUUCUUCCAAUUUUUCCAAAGACAAAGUAGAACUUCGUUUUGAGGAGUUUCUCCCCCGUUCGCCGCCGUCCAGCCGGCGGCUACUCUGGGAUGGAUCGAGGUUUAGGCCAGGGGGCUUGCUCCCUUUCUUCUGGAGCUAAGGAAGGACCUGCGGGUGGCGUUUCCGGUAAAGGGGGAAUCUCAAGGAGGGUCUCCAGACCUUCGAAGUGCCCCACCACCAGGGUUGGCGUUGUGUCGACGACCCCCUCUGGCUCCGGGCUAGAGGUAAUUUCGAUGAUCUCCCCGGCCCUUUGUUCCUCGUCACCAUCGCAAUAACAAUAAGGAGACGCGGUGACGUCGUCAUCCAGAAGGAAAAAGAAAACCCCAAAGGUACCGAAUGGAAUUCUACUUGUCGGGCUUGGAUUCGUUUCGUUUAUCAAAAAUCGAAAUAAUAAAUAACAACCCAUAAAUAAAAGAGAAAUUACGAUAACAAAUCUAAAGUGAAGCCAAUCGCUUAUAAAAAUAAACCAGUCUCCUUUUAAAAGGAACUGGCCAAUUCACUUCGAAAAACUACGUUCUAACUUGAGCAGAAAAAUUGGUGGCAUUUGACAUCUAAAGUUUCACCACCCCUACUACUGCCCGAAAUCCUGCUUUGGUGAGCUUUCCCCAAGGUGACACCGAAGGUCUACCUCCUUUCGUGCGCCCCUCACCUCCUCCAUGAGGAUGAUCCACUGGAUUCAUUGCAACAUCAUGAACAAUGGGGCAUCUGCCUAAGCACCGGCACCCCCACCACGCUUACGGCUCUAUACCUACUAGACCUGUAUUCGGUAAAGCUUUCUUUCUAUAUGCUAAUUCUCAUGCAGUUCAUAUUGUCGAUAUGAGUAUAAUUGCCUCAAGAAAUAGAUAAGAAUCCCUUCCUUUACCGGUAAAUGAAUAGGAAUCAGGUUAAUAAAACCGGAACUGUUUCCGCCUUCCUCUCGAACUGAGCUAUUUCUCUUAAAUAUACAGUUUCACAUCAUUACAGGAAAUCCUAUACGUGUGUAUUACCACCCGGUAUGAAGACCUUCGUCGUCUUCGGCGUAGCGUGAAGACCUUCCCACGGUCUUCGAGUCGUUCUUGACUGGCUAGCAAGCACAAGUGGAAUUUAACCGCCUUGUGGUCGGGACACCGCCUUCUUCUCUAGAAUCACGCAAGUGGUACCGCUCCCCAAGGUAAGGAGAAAGACCUUAAGGCAUAAACGUAGAGCCUGAGUCCACAAGAUAGUAUUUUCCCGGUGACGAUAGUGGCCAUUUUCCGGUUCAGUGGUUGUAUCCAGAAAGAUUCUAGAGUCAUUUGCCGUACCCUCCCAACCAACCAUCACAUAUGUGAAACUCAUGUGAAAAUAAAAAGCACACAAACUCUUCUGUGUUGGCGAAACUCGUUUUCCACGAUAACGUAUUUGGUUUGCUGUUGGAACUCGGGCAGAAAUGUGUGUCCCGGCUCUAACGCUAUUCUAGAAAUGCAAAAAAUAGAAUAAUAGAUGAAUUAGAAAACUCAACUGUUCUUUGUGAUUCGGUACCGCUUGAACUAACUGGCCCAAUUCUUGGUAGGUACUUAUUAGGGGGAGGGCCAACCACCGAAUGAACAACGAUCUCCCGGUCCCACUUGAUUCCUGGGGAAUUUAGGGAACCCUGCGGACUUGACUCUUUUAAGAGGAAGAAAUUCGAAGUGAAAUAUCUAGAAUAUGCUUUACACUCCAUUUUCACACAGGUAUGCCCCCCACCUUUCUGUAGAUUGAUGCACUAAUAAGACUCCAAAUCCUUGGUUUGAGCAUCCCUUUCUUUUGUAACCUCUCUUAGGAACUUCAAACGGAACAAGGCUAGGAUCCUAAUCUCUAUUCCUUCCUCCUUGGCAUCAGAUAACUCCAAUAAAGCAUGACUGAAGUAGAUAUAAAACGUGUCGAAGAGCAAUAGACUCUUUUUUUAUAGAGCUUAUCAUUGUCAUUGAUUGACCAGCAUGACUUAUGGAUUGCAUUUUAUACUGUGCUAUUUGAAUAGCGAGAUUCUUGAAAGGCGGAGGAAAUAGACUUUCUUGCUCCUGCAUCAUUCUUGCUAAGGGCAUCUAAGGAACUAAUCAAAGGUUACGAAAGAGAAGGCUUGAAAAGGAGCUUACUUUUCCCGCUAAUGCUACUUCCGCUAUCUCGUAAGGAGGAUACGACUCAUAAACCUCCCUUGGUAUUUGGGUAGGGAGAAAGAUAAUUAAUUAGACUGAGUGAGGAAUGUAUACAACUACUGCUCAAAAGGCAAUAAGAAGCACGCACUCCUACUAGACAUGGAAGGAGUAAACCUAAAAUAUGCUUUCUUCCCUUAUGUUGAAUCGACUUCCUUGUCUCUUUCUAGAAAGUCAGCAGCUGGCCCAAGGUGACCUACUGGGAAAUGAAAAAACAAUUGGUUCAAUCGAGUACUUAUAAGCCGAACGGAGUUCUCUCCCAUAUUGUUAUGUUUACCUGGAAUGCCAUAAGCCUGCUCUCAAGGAACAACUCGAAUCACUGCUGACGCGGGACUUGCUUUCGCACGGGGAGUUGGAUAAAUUACCCUCUUGUGGGUAUGGCGAUAGAUAGCAAUAGCAACGGAUUGAUUAUGAUUAUGAUUAAGUAGACUGACUGUUGGAUGAGCUCCAAAAGGUGGUGAGCCUGAUGAGUCAACCAAAGGGAGUGGGCCCUUUAAACCCCUAGGGCGUAAGCAUUUCUGCCUAUCCAAAAUAAGAGGUCAAGUCAAUCUUGAAUGCGGUUAGUACCUAUUAGUAUUAGAUACAGAAUCCUAUUUGCUUUGAGCGCCCCUAUCCUAUAUUCUCUCUAUCUAUAGAUGGAGAAAGACAUGCUCGAUAUGAAUUGGGACAAAGAAGAAAGUCAAAAGCAGGAGGUAGGUCCGUGGUUUCAAGUUGAGUAGUGAGUGGUUCCUUGAGGGGAGUCGGCAGAAACCUUUACUCAUUUGAUUUCCUCCCAAAAGAAGGAGGGGUUUUCCUGUGGUAGGCGCCAAGAAAGAUACCAAGAAAUUAGGCACCAGGUACUAUCCAUUACACUUAGAGUUGGUAUUUAUUGUUUGAUUCGAAUCCCUGCUUACCAAACAGUUGUCAUAACAGAUUUGAAUGACGAUAUCCAAUUAUGAAAUGGCUAGAGGAGGCACAGUGAUAAGACAGAACUGAUGGUAAUGUAAAUCAAAGGUUUUCAUUUACCUUAUCAUCGUCGUAACUUUCUUAUCUAUUUGUGUAUGCUAUUAGAAAGGGAAAUUCGAUACAACCAACGCGCAAAACCUUCCGUCUUUCCUAUGAAAACAACUUCCGCCUGGAUAGAAUAGUUAGCCAACAUGAAUUCCUGCUUAUUGUCCUUCCUACCCAUAAGUGAGAGCAAGGCCGAAGUAGAGCAUAGAGCUUAGAAGUAGGAUCUGGUAAUUGGUUCUGCUCAGCAGAUGCAAAAAAAGAGGUGUUUUUGGGGUGAGUCCCUGCCAAGCGGCUUUUGAUGACGGCGUCGUCAACGUACACUUCUGCAUUACGACCCAACUGAGACCUGAGGAUGAGGCUCAUUAGGCGCUUAAAUGUGGCACCGACAUUUAUCAAACCGAAGGGCAUCCGCUUGUAGCAGAAGGAAGGGGCGAUAAAACUAGUUUUUUCUUUGUCUUCCUCAGCCAUAUAGACUUGCUGAUACCCAGAGUAGGCGUCGAGGAACCUCAACAUCUCGCACCCUGCGGUGGAGUCGACUAGUUUAGUCCUUGUACUUCGGUGGAACCAAAUUCCAGUAUAUGGAUUGCAAACCUUUUCUGCUUUGGGUCUUAAGUGAAUGAAAGGGUGGGUUAAAGAACCAUGGCCAGCCCCCCUCAAGAAAUCUCGCCCGUAGGUUACUGAUGGGAUGCUAGCUGCCGGUAUACAGGAAAAACGUGGUGCAGAGCACGAACAAGAUGUGCUAACACAUAUCCCUUAUAUUUAUUGGUUCUACAGAAGAUGUAUGAUAAAGAGCUGGCAUUAAGUCAUGCAACGCGCUCAGGCUUUAUAAGAGGAAAGACUCUCGCCAGUAUAGAUUGAACGUACGGCGCUUGCUUACAAGACUGCUACUGAAAAAGGCUACCUCUUCAAACUGCUGAAUGCCCUAUUCCAUCUAUCUUUCCCUGAAAAAGCGUAUACUUUUGUUCUAUAAGCAAAUAAAGCAUACUUCUUUUGCGGAUCAAGCAGUCUUCUACCUUGGUGGGUAGCGGAGAAUCAAAUCAAUAUCGGAGUAUUGCUCUAGCUGCUGCUGAAUUAACCUGGAUUCAAUCGUGACUCUCUGAACUAGGUUGUACUUCGUCUUCCCCUCUGGACCUCAGAAAUGGAAAAAAGUUACCGGUGCGUAAUUGAAGAUUCGGUGAAAACUAGUCGACCUUUCAUCACAAAUUGAAGCAGAGGCUGUUAGUUGAAAAUCCAUUUGCAGAUCCUGUUGUUGAGGUAGAACCAACUUCACCAAUAGCAUAGACUCUAUCAGUCGAAGAGAUCAGCAGGUACGAGGAUAACAGAGACAGAGAUAAAGGCUUCGUCAGCAGAGACGAGAGCGGGGCCCUUUUGAAAAUCAGAAAUAAAAGGGGCGAUCAACGAAUUGACCAGGUGUAAGCAGAGGGAACUGGAGCAGAGCAAUAUGUAGCAUACUUUUCCGUUCGAGACCCGUAUCUAGACCCUUGUGAUCGAUAGCCGGACCCAUGCUGACGGCACCGAAAUCCUGCCCCUCCCGCGGAACUAGUACCACCAAUAGAUAGGCCCGUCCCUUCUUGGGCAACCCUGAAAGUAUCUUCUUGUACGGACUGAAACAAGACAAACUACUCGCGGGACCCACUUAAGAUCUCUUUCUUUAGUUUUCUGCUUUAUUCCUUUCUUAGAAAAAAGUAGCUUCCCUUAUUAGUAGCGCUAGUAUCUUUUCAUAAUGAUGACUUUUUUUCAGAGCUUCCUAGAUUUUGAGAAGCUGAGGCAUUGCCGGCGGGGGGGAAAUUUGAUCAAAACUAAUAACAACUAGUCACGAUUAGGGACAAAGCUCAGCUAGUAUACGUAAUGUGUUCAAGGCGCAUUUCCUCCAACAACUAGACUAAAGAAAAUAAGGGCGGAAGGAUUUACUUAAACGUUGUUGCAUGAGCGGCUUCUAAAUGAGUGGUUGAUGAUUCACUUUCUGAUUAUUACCCGCUAGCUAUUGAAGCGGCAGUGUGACGUCGGCCCACUGCGGAAUGGGUGCCACCUAACUAUGAUUCGGUGAAGGUUCCACCUUCCUUCCAUAGAUAUAGUUAUAGUAGUUCCACUCGAUGUGGAUCGCGCCCAUGCUUGCUCAGCUCCAGGAUCAGGCUCCUAAACCUAUUUUCAAUAAAUAAGUCAUCUGGUCUAUGUUGUUGGAGUUCCGCAUGACGCCUUAAUCCCACCUCUGUGUCUAAGGAAUAGCCUUUCAUUCUUUUCUUUAUUGUUCAUGGGAACAUGUAAGAUUAGCAAUGGAAAUUUAGCUACGGCCGUCCCAUCCUCAAGCAAACAACGCGAGACUUAGUUAACGAAACAGGAACUCCAUCCCUUGACACUAAUUUCUGAUACAGAAGUGGAAUCGAAAAAAUGCGGGAAAAAUGCACAUUCAAUAUUGAGAAAAUGUUGCGUAACUGCCCUUGCCUCAAGGUCUUGAGAAACCAGAAACUAGUGUUCGAUGGCCCAACAAAUCCUAUUGGUUUUCGCAGGGGAUGUCAUUUUUACAAGCUUUCGCAUGCUGAGCGUGACUAUGGAUUUUAUAUAGUUAUGGAAUAACCUUCUUAUCCGCGAGUUCUUCGGCCAAAGACUCCUGAUAUCGCUUGUUGGGCCCUUGAUUCCGAAGUACCAGUACCGAAGGCAGACUUGAAUGCAUUAGGUUGGGAAGCGGCCUAGAAGGUGCUUAAAGAUAGGUGACAGUUGUGAAAGUUUAGUCGACUUGUCGGCAGCAACUGACCUUUCUUUCAUCAAAAGUAGGAAUGAAAGCUGGCAUGCAGAUAAGGAAAUCUCUUUUCUUCUCUUCUACUCGGCUACGGACCUUCUAAAAGGAGAAGCAAUAAAUACAAAAGUGCUAGGUUUGGAUUUGAGUGAGAUCCCGGAUCGGUAGCUUCAGAUAUCCCCUCAGACUGGAAUGAGAAUUUCGAUAGAUUUCUUUGCUUUAAAGCAUAGUUGGAGGUAGGUUAUGCUCCAUUGCUUCAUCCCUAUAGUCUAAGGAUUGCCAAUCAAACAGUAGCAGUAGACUAGCCAUAUUCAUCUUCUACAGUCUCCUGUUUCCCCCUAUUUAAAAUGGUCAGCCUGCGCAGCAGAAAAAAAGGCGCUCUAAUCGUACUCGAGGCCUUAAUCCCCCAAUAGGGCUUACUUACCCGAGUCAAUUGUUUCCUUCCUGUGCGAAAGCAAGGCCUCUUUCUCGACUUUACUUGAAUGCCAUUUACUGAGCUAUCUUCUUUUUUCUUCUUCUGGCGAAAGCACAUUUUAUUAUUUUACGGAAGCAAGACGAAAGGUCAUUUCGCCAAUCUGGGGAAUAACAGUGAAAGCAAUCGAUCGGAGAAGCCCCCCCUAGUAUUGAGAAUGAAAAAGUGGAUUCAUUCCCCAGGCGUGUGUGUGUGCUUUCCACGGGCCUGAUCUCGAUUUCUUCUUAAGCUGUUAUGUCCUCCGAAGUGAAGUGGAUUGGUCGGAAGCUAGACUCCAACAGCAUCGAUACUCAAAUAACCGGCUCUGAUACAUGGCUUAGAACCUUCAAUCUUUAGCCAUUAUUCCCAGUUCAGGUGGUUAGGUACCAAAAGUUAUAAAUAGGCCCAAUUUCUCCUUUUAUACUAGAUUUCCUUAACAAGGGCAUCCAAUUCUUGAAACAAAUCACGCUCCCUUCUCUUUCCACUUUCACUUUCAUGCCCAGUUCUUUUUCGACUUGGCAAUCGUAGCAAUUUAUGUAAAGCCUCCUGAUCCGGAUAAACAUGCUCGAUACAUUCUAGUGAACUACGAAGAGAAGCUAGAACGGUGGAAGCCUGAAUCCAGUGAGUGCCCAUUCUUAAUAAACUUGGGAAUAGUAGCUCCUAUGGUUUCUAGAGCGAGUGAAUGAAACGCUAUCUUCUUAUGAGCGGAGAUAGAGAGCUAUGUCACAAUCAAUAAGUGAGAUGCUGUGGGCGAGGAAUCUUCUGUCACAAUAGAGGUCUUCUUUUCGAAUUUAAGUGGGACUAGCUUCUUCCUCAAUUGAUAUUACUGACAAUCUAGCAAUUCCAUCCUUUAGAAGAAGAUAAGUAAACCAUUUCAUUGAAUUGCAUGAUUGAGUGAUGGAUGCGGACAAUCACAAGCCUACUUUGUUUAUAGAAAAGAGCGUAUAACCCCCGAUCCCUACCUGUUGUAGAGAAUCUAUCGUCUAAACUCUUCUGUGCCAUUUGCCGCCUAAUACACUAUUUCAGUAUAAUGUUGUUUGCUGGUGCAUAUCUCUUGAUUGACUAUUUAUUGGUUAUUAAGCAUUAGUGAGCUGACCUAUGUACAAGUUCUGAGUCAACCCCCAGAUCUGUAUCUCCUUGCCUUGUAAUCUCUCAUUCAUCUAUUUAUGUGCAUGCUUUAGCGAAGUCUCCAGCCCCAUAAAUAUUAGUUAAUGCGUGAUGCGUAAAUCAAUAACUAAAACUAAAGUGCCGAUCAUCCCAUGCUACCACAGGAUUUUUCAACAACAUGACAUAUUGAGAAAAAUCUAUGUUAGAGCCGCCAUUUCUUUACGGUUACAUUAGUGUGGAUUGUUCUUCUGAUUCUUAUAGGCCUGGCACCCUAGCUUCGAUAGAUUUAUUUGAUUUUGCAAGCUAUGGCACAGGAAUGUGAUAUGGGUCGUAUCCCGCACCUCCCUUGAUUCCGUGUGAAAUCCAUCCUAAAAAGCACGAGUUGGAUCGGCGUAAAGAACAAGACGAACGUGGUAUUAUCUCUAUUAGGACGGUUAUGAGGCUCUGCUCUUUUUUUCUUUAUUCAAUAUCUAUUCUUUGUUUCUUAUAUUCCGCUAAUUGUUAUCUUGAAUGUAUCUUUAUGCUUAAUAGAUAACUGGUGAUGCUAGAGCUGUCAAGAAGGCAUUGUUUGCAGUAUCAACCAUCAUCUACAAAUGCCCAUCAAAAGAGACCAUUUCUCUUGAAACUUCUGUCCCUCCAAGCAUUGUACAUCCUUCAGAGCUUCCUGUCUAUCCUGCUAGUAACUUCUACUCCAUGUCAGAUGCAGCUAUACCUUAUGGAAUGGACAUCAAAAUCUAGCUAUCUUAGCAAAGGAAGUGGCAUUCAAAUCUACAGGUUUUUCUUCUUUAGCCUUUUCGCCCAGCAUUGUCAUUAUUGACACGUUUUUGCGAUCCCUGUUUUUGAGAUCCUCAAUGAAUACCACCAGAAAGGGAAUGUGACCACCAUUCUUAUUUGAGAAAAGUGUCUCCACUAUAGCACUAACGAUCCUAGACAGCAGAGAAAGCUUGAUUGGAGCUAAGAACUAUUUCUAAAGGACCCCUUCCACUCUUGUGUGGAAAGAUCUUUCUUCGUUCAGUCCAGUCUGAUUUAAAACGUGUUGUCUACUAUUAUAGGGGCUGUCGUUAGGGUCACUCCUUCUUAUGCCGGGAGAUGGCAGUUAUCUAUAUUUAGAAAUAAUAAAGAAUAUGGGUGUGAUUGUCAUCACAAUGGAGUGAUCGAGUAAUCAGCCCUGUAGGUUCCUCUCUAUUUAGAUAGACCCCAUCAACAUGGCCAUUCCCUUCUCCUGGUAGCAAAAACCCAUUAGAGGUUUGAUUCUCAAAAGAAAACAGACCAGAAACUCGAAACUAUUCCUACUCGCCAGGUGGCUUUAUCAAUUUGAGUUUAAAAAUAGUAAAAAAAGGGUGUCAAAAGUAGAAGUAUCAUAUCUUCUUAAGGAGCCCAACUCUAGCUAGAGAAUAAGAGGAUUUGGUUUUGGCAGGAUGCGAGGUGCCAACUUAUUAAGCACGAGAGUCGUAAGAUCCCGGUUAUAGAAGAAGAGUAGGCCAAUCCCAAUCUUAGGCUGCAACAAACAAGGAAUUCCUGUCAUCAAAUCGGCCUGAUCCCCAAAAGGAAAUCGCAAUCCAAAAUCCCUAUAUACGAUAUACGAUAGAUUCCGGGCACCUUGCUACAUGACACUUGUCUCGCAUUGCAUUACUGACUGCUUCUUCUUCUGAUUUCUUUGCUUUGAUGAUGCCCUUGUCCCAAAGAGAGCUCUUCAGCUGAAGAGUACUUUGGCACCCUAGAACACAUCUCCCUCUGGAUGAAGCCAACAGGUCUCAGACAAGAGUAGUAUCUAUGGCUUCAUCGAAAACUAUCAGCCAAAAUCCAAAUAAAAUGCAUCAUAGACCCAGCAUCAUCCUUCACUGGGAACUACAAAAGCAACAUCCAACUUCAACCUGGCGGCCUCUGCACACAAAACCUCCGAUAUAUC
rnacentral:lncRNA from 1 species